rnacentral:rRNA from 1 species
UACGGGAGGCAGCAGUGGGGAAUUUUGGACAAUGGGGGCAAGCCUGAUCCAGCAAUCCCGCGUGCAGGAGGAAGGCCUUCGGGUUGUAAACAUCUUUUGUCGGGAAGGAAACGGUGAGAUCUAAUACAUUUUGCUAAUGACGGUACGGUAAGAAUAAGCACCGGCUAAUUACGUGCCAGCAGCCGCGGUAAUACGUAGGGUGCAAGCGUUAUUCGGAAUUACUGGGCGUAAAGCGUGCGCAGGCGGUUAUGUAAGUCAGAUGUGAAAUCCCCGGGUUCAACCUGGGACUGGCAUUUGAGACUGCAUGGCUAGAGUUCGGCAGAGGGGGGUGGAAUUCCUCGUGUAGCAGUGAAAUGCGUAGAUAUGGGGAGGAACACCGAUGGGGAAGGCAAUCCCCUGGGUCAUAAUUGACGCUCAUGCACGAAAGCGUGGGGAGCAAACAGGAUUAGAUACCUUGUUAGUCCAUCCCCUUAAAGCGAUGUCAACUGGUUGUGGGGUCUU